GGGGGGAGGGGCUGGCCGGUGCUGUUCAGUGACACCCAGACCAUCUGUGGCACAGGGAGCCUCAGGAAGAGAUGAGAUAGACUAACUCCUGGUGGUUUUCCUGGAACUAGAGAAACAGGAGCACAGAGCCAGCUACAUCUGUCCUCUGUUCUAACCUUAAGUGAUUCGUAGAAAAGGCAGGUCCCAGUUUUGAGUCAUUAGAUGCCAAAGAGCAGACAGCCUUUGCGCUCUGAAAAGAGUGAGACACUCAGUGCCCCUUUGCUGGAGUUGCUCAGAAGUUCGGCAGAAGAAAUCUGGUCCCACAGAGAACAAUUUGCCUCAUAAAACCCAAAUGAAGAAACUUCAAUGACAGACUACUUAUGGAAGUCUGAAGAAGGCCCCGGGUAACCAGCAACAAUGCAAAUCCAUUCCCUCUCAGGAGGAAGAAGAGACAAGACCCAGCCUCAGCCUACAGGUGACCUUAACAUGGGAGGCAUUGGGGGUAACACCCAGGACUCUCCUGGCUCCCACUCUCCAGUUCCCAGCAGCAGCAGCCUGUAGUUGGCUGGUACAAAUGGCAAGCUCACUCUCACAGAGGAACACAUAGCUGAGCCUAUGAGAUCAGCUGCCCAAAAGAGGCAGGAACAGAGGGAAGGACAUCAACACAGGAGCCAAACCUGCAAAGGUUGGUCUAGCCUACUCUAUAUGCUUUCAGCUUCCAGGUUUGUUUCUGUUUAAACGGUGAAAACCUUAGCCCGUGCUCAAGGAAAACCGAGCCCCAUGCCAAGCUUCCUGAGCCACAGCACCAUCUCAGGCUGCCGAACUGGAAGCUAAAUUUCAAUAUUGGCCACCAUCAGUGUUCCUCCUAGAAAGCAGGCAUAAAGGAGCACUUAGCACAGGGGAAGUAUGGCCACAGUGGUCUCCAGUCACCUGCCCCGAGGCCAGAGCCAACAAUCAUGGCUUUCCUCUUCUGACACCCUCCCUAAACUCACCCUAUUCUCUACCAAGUCCCUCUGCAGAUAGAGACAGCCAGAGCAUCAUCCCCAAAUAUCUGGGUCCUGGUUGAAGACAUUGCACGGAUUCCUGUGAGCUCUAUCCCUGGACACUGACUUGCUGAUAUACACCAUGCUGACAUAGGUUCAGGGAGGUGGCGUCAGAACCCAAGGAAUCCCUGAAGCCCCACCUGAGACCUUCCCUACCUAGUAGUGAAUGUCAGAGGAAAGCUGCCCUGGAGAAGACUGACUGCAGCUGCAGAGUUUACACACUGGUGAACUCCACCCUGCCAGGUGCAGGGCCACUUCAGAGCCCACCAGCCGAGCCUCCCAGGUGACCCCUCUGUCACCUUCUGCUGAAGAGAGAAUGACUCUGUCAGCCUUGAGGCUUGGGUCCCAGUGAGAACAGAGCUACCCACCAGCCUGAUGCUCUUCAGGGAGCUGUCCAAUGAGAAACAAGCACUUGUGGAUUCUUUCAUUAUUUAUUUUAUGUGUAUGAAUGCUUUGCCUGUAUAGUUGCAUGUUCACCCCAUGCACGUUUGGUGUCCACAGAGGUCAGAAGGUUAUUGGAUCCCCUGGGGUUGGUGGUAUGGAAGACAGAAGCCAUCAACCAUGCUAGAAGCUUGCACACAGCCUCCUGCAUGCUAAAACAAGGAGCAGACCAAUGAAAUGCCUCUGGUUCCUCACAGGACCAACACGCCGUCUCCACCUCAGCGCCCAUACACGUGG
ensembl:lncRNA